UAUCAGGGCAGUGUACGUUACUGUGUUAGGCUUAACUCCCUUAGUUCCAAUCUCACUAAAUACCGUUUUUGCUUCAAUGAAAUUUCCCUGCUUGCAGUAACCAUCUAUCAGGGCACAGACACUGUUUGUUGUUGUGUUAGGCUUAACUCCAGCAGUUUCCAUCACCCUAAGUAUCCUUUUCGCGUCAACAAUUUUUCCUAGCUUGCAAUAACCAUCUACCAGUGUAGUGUAUGUUGCCGUGUUAGGCUUAAUUCCCUUAGUUUCCAUCUCAAUAAG
rnacentral:misc_RNA from 1 species